UAUAAAGUUUUAUUUUGGCUUUUAAGUUUAUUAUCAGUUUAAUUUAUAUGUAAAUUUUUGUGAGAAUUUUUAUUUAUUUUAAUAGUAAAUAAUUUUUUUAUUAAUCGCAGUAAUUAAUAUUAUUAAUUAAGGAAACUUAGAGAUAGUAAUAUUGAAGAGUAUUGGCUAAAUUUGUGCCAGCAGCCGCGGUUAUACGAAUAAUACAAAUAAAUUUUUUUAGUUUGAGUUAAAUUGAUUAUUUAUUAAAUAAAAAUAAAUUUGUUAGGUGAAAUUUUAAAUUUAUGAUAAUUUUAAAUAAAAAAAUUAAAGCUUAGAAAUUUUAUUAAUAAACUAGGAUUAGAUACCCUAUUAUUUAAAAUGUAUUUUUGAAAACUAAGGUAGUAGUAGUUAUGUUCUUGAAACUUAAAAAAUUUGGCGGUAUUUUAGUCUAUUCAGAGGAACCUGUCUUGUAAUCGAUAAUCCACGAUGGACCUUACUUAAGUUUGUAUUCAGUUUAUAUACCGUCGUUAUUAGAAUAUUUUAUGAGAAAGUUAAUUUUCAAGAUUUUUAAAAAGAAAAUAUAUCAGAUCAAGGUGUAGCUUAUAUUUAAGUAUUGAUGGGUUACAAUAAAAUUAUUUAUAUGGAUAUAAAUUUGAAAAAUUUAUUGAAAGUGGAUUUGAUAGUAAAAUUAUAGAGAAUAAUAAUUUGAUUUUAGCUCUAAAAUAUGCACACAUCGCCCGUCACUCUUAUUACUAAGGUAAGAUAAGUCGUAACAUAGUAGAUGUACUGGAAAGUGUACCUAGAAUGCA
rnacentral:ncRNA from 1 species